UGGUGUUGGAGUAAAACUUUAUUUGGUUUGGAUUUGUUGGUUUGGUUUGGAUUUGGAUUUGAUUAAAACGACAUUACAAAUAUGACGAAAAUCGAACAUCAAUCGAACAUUAUAUCGAUCGAUAACUACAGCUACAACAUUCAUGUAUAUAUAUCGAUAACGAUAUGUGAUGUGUGGGUGUGUUUGUGUAAUUAAAUCUUAUGCACUAAUUGGAACUGUUUUUUGGAUUAAGGUUUUUCUUGGUGCAUCGAAUGAAUGUGUACUCUUUGUUGUUUUUCUUGUAUCUUUGGUGUGUUGCAACUGAAACACGUAGUCGAUAACCAUGUUGGCCACAUCCUUGAACCAUUUUUCUCCAGGCACAGGCACUGACACACACUUGCACCCAAACACACACACACACACAAACAGCAUAUACUGUAGCACUCUUGGGACGCCCCACUCUCGCUCUCUUUCGUUCGUUCGCUCUCUCUCUCUCUCUUUCGCACUCACACAAACAACUGAAAACGUUGCACAUACGACCCGUAUGCACGCUAGUUGCCACACAAAAACCCAUCGCCAGAACCGACGAACGUCGACGCCUUAAACCUCCUUUUCCAUCUCCUUCUCCUGCUUUCCUGUGUUUCGAUUGGAUGCAGCCAAGUGUUAUGCAACUACUUAAAGGACUUUAUCAUGUGAUUUCUGUGUGAUUUGCGUUGUUUGAGUUGUGAUUUGUGUGUGUCUGUGUCUGUGUGCUGCUCAUCCUUCUGGGAAUCCUUCUCCUGACGAUGCUGCUCCUCCUCCUCCUUCUACCGCCAGUUGCUCGUCUCCUUACAGAAGAUAGCAUUUCCGACGCCAACAGGAACAGGUGCAGUGCACAUGACGAUAGUAGCGACAGAGGCACUUCAGAUACUUGUAUCCCGCACAGCAAUGAUGCGAAUGCGUGUGCGAAUGCGAAUGGUAGUGACUGUAGCAGGACCCACUGUCAUGCAGACAAUACGAAUAGCAUCCACAGUCGCACAUCUUGGCUCUGGUUAGAUCUAGGGAUCUCUUCCUGGCUCUUCCUGCGGAUGGGGGGGAUCAGCUAUGUCCCUGCUCCUUUGAUGGCCUC
rnacentral:lncRNA from 1 species